rnacentral:tRNA from 1 species
GGGUACAGCUCAGUAGUAGAGCACAUGCUUAGCAUGCAUGAGGUCCUGGGUUCAAUCCCCAGUACCUCCA